ensembl:lncRNA
CCAAGGUUGAUGCAGGCCAGCCUUCCGCAACUGGCAGCAGACAGCGCCAGCUGCUUCAAAGGAGGGGACAAGAAGUUUCACAGCUAGUGGCAAUUUGAAAAUUAGCCUUUUGAGAAAUUUCCUCCUGACUUCCACGAGUGGAAAAUUCGUCUAUGCCCGGAGGCAGAAAGGAGUGCAUUGCUGUGGAGGAAGGCAGGCUUUGAAUUCAGACUGACUGAAUAGUUCAGUGUGAGAACAUUCAUCUGCCUCUGAAAGAGCCAUAAAGUGUGAUGAUGACAGUGAUGGAAACUGAGCUGCAUAACUUGGUGGACAUCAGAACUUAUGAAUUGAAUUUUAACUGUUGAGACUCAUUAUCAA